GACGAACGCUGGCGGCGUGCUUAACACAUGCAAGCCGAGCGAUGAAGCACCUUCGGGUGUGGAUUAGCGGCGAACGGGUGAGGAACACGUGAGGAAUCUGCCUUCCACUCUGGGAUAACUCCGGGAAACCGGGGCUAAUACCGGAUACUUUCAACUGGCGGCAUCGCCGGUUGAAGAAAGUUUUUCGGUGGAAGAUGACCUCGCGGCCUAUCAGCUUGUUGGUGAGGUAUGGCUCACCAAGGCGACGACGGGUAGCCGGCCUGAGAGGGCGACCGGCCACACUGGGACGGGGACACGGCCCAGACUCCUACGGGAGGCAGCAGUGGGGAAUAUUGGGCAAUGGAGGAAACUCUGACCCAGCGACGCCGCGUGAGGGAUGAAGGCCUUCGGGUUGUAAACCUCUUUCAGCAGGGAAUAAGCGAAAGUGAAGGUACCUGCAGAAGAAGCACCGGCUAACUAUGUGCCAGCAGCCGCCGUAACAC
rnacentral:rRNA from 1 species